UUUACACAGUUGUUGAUUCCUUCAUUAAUAAUGUGUGGUAUUUUUAUUUAUUGUCGAUUCUGGAAGUACUGGUUUAAAAUAAAUUGUGUGUAACUGUAAAAGGCAACCAAUACUAACUGAUUACUGCCCCAUCCACAUCGUAACCAAAUCUUGCCUUCCUUUGACUACAAGGUUCCAACUGGUAGCAGAGCGCGGUUAUGGUUGUAAUAUUGCCAUUUCAGUUACUGUUGGCUUGAUUUGUUAAAGUUUGUUAGUGUUGUACGAUUUCUGCCUGUGGUAUUGUGUUCUGUUUUAGGUGAUCAACUCUGUAAUGGCAGUCAGGCAGCAUCCUGGGAUCGGCCUAUUGAGGAAGGACCACCUCACUUAUGAGCUGGCUUAAUUCACUGAGCUGUGGCAGUCGCACCUUUGGUGUCUCCCUCUGGUGGGAAAGGGAAAAGGUUGCCUGUUCACGUGCAUUUAAGGGGUGCUAUGAGCUCACAGUGAUUGGUGGUUGUCAUGGCGGCCAGAGAAUGUCCAGGAUUAGGCCUGUUGCACAGAAUUCAACUCGUAUAUGAGUUGCGUAUUCAUAAUAUAAACAAACAAGGCACUGUUCCUGAGUUGCUUGUGGACUUAAAAGAUGCCAUGCUCAAUCUGGUCCAACAUUCACGGGAAGUUGUUGGUUCCUUUCCGACAGCCAUGGCAAUGGUGGCAGGAGAGGUCGGCAAUUAGCUGAAGCAACUGUUCCAGAUAUUUGCCAUCCACCACCUUAGCUAAGUGGCCAGCACAGCCAGCUGUUAUGCAGAGGACAAUGGUCCAGUUCCCAGCACUGCCGGGGAUUUUUCCUCAGUGGGAUGGCUGGAACAGGGUGCACUCAGCCUCAUGAGGCCAAUUGAGGAGCUCCUUCAUUAAGUAGUGGUGGCUCAUGGCUCUUUCAAAAAAACUGACAUCACCUGGGGGAGCAGUGUGCUGACACUACAUCCCUCCGUACUGCAUCCAGUGACGCCAUUGACAGAAAUAGCAUGGCAGUUAGUCACUACCAAACGUGCUCCCAGGGUGUAUGGAUACAGUUAACAUUUUCACAGGCAAAGCCAUCUUCAGAAAAGAAAAGAAAACCUUGUAAUGUAAUGGACUACUGAAACUACUGAUACCACCAGCUGGCGAGGUGUGUGGUGCCGUCAAUCAACUUGAAGGAGCAAGUGAACUUUAACUACGUAAACAUAAAUUGAAAUAUUAUUAUUUUGUUACAAAACUGUUAAUAUGAGGGCAAUCAUGAGGUAUAUUUCCACAGAACUAUAUAAUAAACACUUUUCAUUUUUCAUACUAUUUUUUCGUAUAUGUAUAAAUGCGAUGUGUAAAAUAUCGAUAUGCAACCAAGGUUGGCAGUACUGCACAGUUUGUAAGCUCUGCGAACAGGAGCCGGUUGUUGGUGGGUGUAGAAACAAUGGGCAGUUGCCAGUUAGUGUUGAGACGUCAUGUAAUACGCAUGAUUUGAGAAGGUCAAGGAUAGAGGGAACGAAAUGAUGUAUUGGAAAAGCUGUUACACUGAAAAUUAUUGAAUGUCAUCAUGAUCAGCAUUUAUAAAAUAAAAGUUGGAAGUUUAA